rnacentral:lncRNA from 1 species
CGGGGGCGCUCGGCGGGAGGGAGCCCCGGGUCCCGGGGCGGCCCGGCCACGGGACUCCCGGUGCUGUGCUCCGCCCCCGGCCCCGGCCCCGGCCCCGGCCCGCGCACACCCCGGACGCGGCCCCGCGGACGCGCGACGGCCCCUGACCCCGGGGUGUCGGUCGGGCUGGCUGGGCGCGGGGCCGCCCGCCUCUGCUCCCCACCGGCCGCGCGCCCGCAGCGGGAUCCAGCCCGGGAGCUGAGCCCGCAGCUGCGGCGCGGACGCCGGUCGCACGCCCGGCGGGGCUGGAGCGGCUCGAAGGGACUCCGGCCCCGGCUCCCGUGCGACCGCGGCCGCCGAGCACCCGGGAGGGCCCCCGGGCCCCGCUCUGCUUCACCCCGACCUCCCGGUCCCGCCCCAGCAAGCGCCCGCGGGCCCCGCCAGGCGCCUGCAGCCGCCUCCUCGGGGCACGCGGGCGAACGUGCGCUCCACGAGGCUGCGGAAGUUCCCGCCGGGCGCCCGGCUCCCGGCUCCCGGCUCCCCGCCCCGCACGGCCGCCGCGGGCCCCACUCACCGCUCCCGCCGCCGGGAUCCCGGCCCCGCUCGCUCCCCGGGCCGCCUCCGUCCGCCCCUCUCGCCGGCAGCGCGCGGACUGGCGACUCCGCCGAGCGUGUCAGCGGCGAAGGGAGGGGCGGGAAAGUGCUCGGGCGGGCGCGCCGCGGCCCCCCCGCCCGCUCCCGCCCCCGCCCCCGCCGUGCUGCAGUGCCGGCCGCCGCGGGGCGGGAGUCGGGGCGCCGCGCGGGGGGGCGGGGGGCGGGCCGACGGGCCCGGGGGGGCAUGGGGGGCGAGGGGCGGGCCCGGGGGGGUAUGGGGGGCGGGGGGGCGAGGGGCGGGCCCGGGGGGUAUGGGGGCGGGGGGCGUGGGGGCGGGGACGGGUCCGGGGGCGCAUGGCAGGACGGGCCGACGGGCCCGGGGGGGCCGGGAGGGGGGGACUGCAGUCCCCACCAGUGGCCAGGACCCUCGGAAGACUCAGCGGGGGGUUCCUUAACUGGUCCCUAG